UAUAUGCAGUGUUAUCUUCAUUUUAGAUGUCAAAGGUUUUUGUGGCUCCCAAUGUUUUCUUUUCUGUGAGAAAUGGGUCCAAGUGGCUCUUUGAGUUUAAGGUUGCAGACCCCUGAGUUAGACCAUCACCAUAAGACAACUAAAGGCAUCUUUCAGAUUUAUGAGAAACUUGAAAGUUUUUAUUUGGAAUGUAUUUAUUUAUUCAGUCAAUGACCAGCAACUUUAAAUAAUAAAAUGAGGGAUAGAAAACAGUGAAAGGAAAUACAAUCAGGAUCAAGAAAGAGAAGUAGCUGCAGUUAUAUAUUAGCAAUUAUAAAUCAAAUAUAGUAUUACAGUAAUACCCUGUUUAUCUAACACUGAUAAAAGUAAUACAGGUAGUCCUCGACUUACAACAAUCUAUUUAGUGACCGUUCAAAGUUACAAUGGCACUGAAAAAAGUGACUUAUGACCACUUUUCACACUUAACUGGCAUGACUGUUGCAGCAUCCCCAUGAUCACUUGAUCAAGUUUCGGAUGCUUGGCAACUGCAGUGUUCCGUGGUCACGUGAUCACCAUUUGCGACCUUCUGACAAGCAAAGUCAAUGUUUCUAUGUGUAUAAAGAGGAAACCCUUUUUUCUUAAACAAAGCAGGCUGCAGUACUACGAAUCCAUCAAACCACAGUGGGGCACAUACCAAGGACGGAAAGCUUGGCUUGCUUUUCUACUCGGCUGAGCAAAGAGGCUGGAGAGGGGGGCACAAGCCUCUUACCGCCCGUCUCUAAGGGAAGAGGCCAAGCUCUGCUCUCUCCACAUGGAGCAAAUAACCUCCCUCCACCCAAAACAUUUUUAUACACACCAGCACUUUAGCCAAGCUUACUGAUUCUGCAGCAAAGACAGCUAGUAUUUGGGCGCCAGCGAAGAAAGCCUUCCAUUCCUUUUAUUCUAGGUUAAGCUGAAAGAAAAAAGCUUGCAAAGGACCACAUAAUAUACUGUACUAUGCCAUGUCCUGCCAAAUGAGCUCACCUAAUGGUUUCAUCUCCUGCUGAUAUUUAAAAGGAGCAGCAACGAACUCUGGUCACUCAGACCUUGCUAUUCGUGUCCUUAUGCAGUGCUUGGAGGCUGUGAAUUUUGGGAUAGGGAGGAACGGGGUCUACCUCAACCCUGAUUCUCAGUGGGGUAAGGGCUUCCCGAGAGACAGCUGGUAUGCCAUUUCAGUUCCCUCUGGACUCACAACUGUUGCUUGAGGAGUGGCUGAUAACUGGCUAGUGGGCUUUGUACAGAUCCAUCUUCUGCAUCAACUGUGCCCACUCCUGGACUGAGAGGGUUUGCUCACAGUCCGUCACAACUUGGUCCCUUCGCAGUUGGAUUGAUGUAAUGGGCCCUAUAGCUAGUCUUCUUUCAGCCACCAUGCUGCACAAGCUUUUUGGUUUUUUCUCAGGUGCAAUACAAAGUGCUGGUUAUCACUUUUCAAGCCACGAAUAGACAGAGCCAGGAACUUGCAAGAAGGCCUCUUUCUGAGGGUACAUGCCCAUCUGACCAAGCCAGAUAAAGUGGGUGCCUUCAGGUCCUCUCACUUAGAUGUUGUCACCCAAUGAGGCUUAGUUAGCACACCUUUCCCAUAGCUGUCCCUGCCCUGUGAAAGAGGAUUUUCUAUGAGAUCCAUUAUCCUCCUCCCAUCCCCUUAUUGGGUGAUAAGGACACCGCAAGCAACUGGUUCUUCCCUCAAUACAUGGGGGGUAAGUUAAGACUAGAGUCCAGAAGCUGUGGGGGGAGAAUGGUUUUGCGGAUAUGAUACUGUGUAUGGUUUGUGGUUACUAUCAUUUUGUUUUUUAUAUUUUAUUGUUAUGCACUGACCCAGAGAUUUUGUAUAUAAGAUGGGUGUCCAUAUCAGUCUCUCAGAUAAAAAGGUGUCGCUACUGUGUAAUCUCCUGUCCAACAACAAAAUCAAACUGAUCCCAAUAAAUGAGGAAUUUGCAUUUAGUCUGUGUCUGGGAAGGGGAAUAAAUCUGAGUUUGGGCAGAAUAGAAGAUGAUGAAUGAAGGCAGUUGGGAACUCCAGGACUUCGCUGCACUCAGAUAGCCCUUCCUUACCUGUGAUGUGACUUGAGUUAGAUCCUCCAGGGAGUUUCCCUCCAACAGGGUGACUGUUAAGAGGAACCCGUGCAGAUUCCCUCUUGCCUUGGAAUGAUUGUCUCCAUGGCAGACUCUUCACCUGGAAGCAAAAAAAAAAAAAAAAAAAAAAAGGCGGAAGUUGGAAGGCAGCACACAUUAAGGACUGAAUUCUCACUCUACUGCCAUUUUGCCAGCUGUGAGUAAUCUGGGAGAAGAAAUUAUCUGGGCAAAGCAAAGGAAUGAUUACCUAAAGGGGAAGAGAGAACUUCUCUUUGUAUUCUUAGACUCAGAAAAAAUAACAAUUGAUAAACUAUUAUCACCUGUUCAAAAUUAUAUCACCUUCAUUUCCUUGUAUUAUUUCUGGCUCCAGAAAAAUUCUUCUGCUAGGGACACCAUCUACUGGUAGGACCAGAUCUCUGCUCUACAUUCUUGAAUUCAGCUCUGCAUCUCCAGGGACAGAAUGGCCAGGAAUUACUACAGGAUUAUCUGGUCUGGCAUCUGAGCUUCUGGGUUUUUUUCUCAAUUCAGCCACUGAUGUCAAUGAUGGUAGAUGUUGCUGCUAUGCUCCCAGGGCCCCUCCUGGUAGCACGACUCUCUAAAGUGAUGUUGUAAAUCAAAACUUGUGGUUCCUUCCCCCAGGUUGUUGGUCUUGAUGCUCGGUCAGAAUUUCCCACAAGGCCCAACCAGAAUAAUAAGGGUUUUUUUUUCCCCACCUCUGGUGUACUGUGGAUACACUUUUUCAUGGUGCUGAAAAGCUGUCCCAAGGAAUCUCCUUGGAUCUGCAAAGAAAACAGUUCUUUCUUAAGAUCAGGAAUUCUCUUGACCUGUUUGAGGUAGAUAGAAAUUUCACUUGUGAAAUGAGAUCCUUUUAUCUUUCAAAUCCUUAUUUUGAGGAGUGGAAUCAGAUAGGAUGCAGCUGUCCCUCUUCCUAACUUGCAUCCUGUCAAAUACAAUCCUUGCUUUAUUGAAAGUUCAUUUGACUUUCCUUUGAACAAAGGGGAAUUUUCCAGAUUUAUCCUGAUCUGAAAAUGCCCAGGACAACCAUCAGUACAUUUUUGGGCUCUUGCCCAUUUGCUCUGUGCACAGGAUUGAAGGAAAUAAAAAUUAAGGAAAUAAAAGUUAUUCUUUUAAUAAUUGUAGAAAUAAUUGUAGAAAUGUAAUGCCAUUAUAUGAAACUGUCUCUUUAGUACUAAUGUAAUGCUGUAACACAAAUGUAACAAUGCAAUGCCAAUAUAUGACCAAAUGUUUACUAUAUCCUGCCUAAAAAUCUCCCGGACAUAGGAAAUUACACUUUAAGUGGAAAUCCUACUAUCAAAGAAGGGGAUUUUAACCCAAAGUGAGAAUUCCAGAUAAAAAAGAUAACAGCAGAUGGACGGAAGAGGUCAGGUUAACAAAGUACCACUUCAGAGAAAACCACUAAGAUGAAAGAGAUGUGACAAUGCAUUGUAGGGCUAUAAAAUGCAAAACCUGAAACCAGGCCAGUGUGCUCCUGGAAUCCAAUCCAUAGGGAAGGAUCCAGGGGGCCGCGUUUGCAAACGCUCCUCUCUUCUAUUCUUUCUCUUUUCUCUUUUAUUCUGUUUCUGUUAUUCUCCAAUAAACCUUUGUUUUGUUAACCAGACUUGUCUUUGUAUUGUGAGUAUCAAAAUUUGGGGUUUUUACAUCUCACAAUCUUGGUGGAGAAUGCGGGCAUUAAGAGCUUCUAGGGGACACUGUUCUCAGUAAAAUCAGGAGCGCGCCUGUUGAUUUCAACUGCCUGAAGUUAUCUGAGAUCUAGUUUCCCUUUGCAGGCUCCGAGCCAAACUAAAUUGACAACUCUGGUUUACAAAAAUCAAAGGACAGGAAAUAGGAAGAAAGUCAACAACUGAAGCCCAGACCAGGUAACCCAGUGCACUGGCCCAGGUAAGGAACUUUUGCCCCGAAGGAGGGAAGCAUGCAAUUGUACCUGGGUGGUCAGGAGAGCGAUUGUGGGAGGAUUUCUGCGAUAACGGCUGUGUAAGUGUGAUGGGCUGUGUUCUGGGAACACUGGUAAGUCCAGAGGAGUGCAGACCCGAAAGGUUGAGGUCCCUUACUCCCGCAAGGGAGAAGGCCAGCCUGAAGGGAAGCAAACUGGUGUUAAAAGAGUUUUGAGUGGCCGUCAAAUCGAGAACCUCAGGGAACCAUAAUCAGGAAAACUCUCAAGAAGAUGGGUUGUUGUUAAAGGCAUUCUUGCCCAAACUCCUUGGACUUUGUAGUACACCAAUACAAAGCAGGACAGUGGGUGUUGAUAAAAGCCUGGAGAGAGAAAAAACUAACUCCAACCUGGGAAGGACUUUACAUCAUCUUGUUAACCACUGAGACAGCUAUCAGGACAGCUGAAAAAAGUUGGACCAUUACUCCCAAGUAAAAGGGCCUGUGCCAGCCCCAGAGGAGUGGAAGGUGGAAUCUCACCAAGGAGAUUCACUGAAGCUAAAGUUCCGAAGGACUUCAUGGACUAAUAGUCAAUCUUACUGACAGAAAGGGGGGUAAUAGAGGAAAAAGAACUAAACUUUAUAUUUCUUUUUCUAUCUAGAACCAAAGGAAAACCAAGACCUCCCGCAUGUGCUGAUUUUGUGGGUAUCUUUGUGGGUGUUGUUGCUGCUCUCACUGUAUUAAUUGUGUUCAGUGCACAGGGUGUGAGAUAGAGUGUGAUAUUAAGUCUUAGAAGAUGUAUUGGAACAUUACAAGAUGGUAUGUCUGGGGGGGUAGUUUCUUAUUAUACUCUUAAAACCUAUCCAACUAUUAGAAUCAUGUAAGCAAUGUGUAAAAAUGACAAAGGGAGAAGGAGAAAAUAUACACUGACUCCAAGUAUGUUUAUGGAGUUUUGAAUACUGGUGGAAGAAGAAAAAAAAGAAAAGUUAUGCUAGAGUGGCAGAAGGGAAGGAAGGAAUGGUUAAUAAAAGAAAGAAACAGGAAAGUUGUUUUAAGUUUGUUUGCACAGACUUGUGAAUUGCAUGCAUUAAGCAGGGAGACUGCCAUUAAAGUGGUCAGCCCAAACGUGUGAAUUGUAUGCCUUAACACAAGCCUUAGAAUGUUGAAGGAAUAAGAAUGUACUAAAGAUGGGAGGUGGAUGUUGCAAGAUGGGAGAGGGAUGUUGAAAAGAAAAAAGAAAAAAACAACAACAAAACAAUGGCUAGAACACAGAAGCAGCCACUGAAGGGGGGUCACAAGGGAUGAUUAAUAUUUUCUACAACAGGAUGGUUGUAUUUAUAUUUUAGUUAAACAAAUAUGUGAUAAAAUUCAAGUUAAAAAAAAAAAGCUUUACAACAUUUAGUGGUGAGGCCAUGUCAAUAUAGGCCUCAACUGGAAAGUUGUUUUUGUUUCUUUGAAAUGGGAGGCUUUUGUUACAUGAAGGUUCAAAAAUGUCAAUGAAGAAGAGAAGAAAGUUACUCAGCGUUUGCAUAAUGUGGUGCAGGUUUUGUCUUCUAUCUCAGUACAGGCCCAGGCUGCCUUACCACCUGUCUCUGGCCAUUGUUCCUGGAGAGUGGAUUCAGGUGAAAAGAACUGUCACCUAGAAAUACCAGUCCUGAGUGGUCUCAAUCAUGCCAAGUCCUCCUGAUUUAAGGAAUCAAGGUGUGAGUCCAUGGAAAGUCCCAUCAUAUCCUCUCCAGUGACAAACUCUGCAGCUGGACGGCCUGAAAAUGAAAUUUCAACCUGCCUUACCUGUUGAAUUGUUUCCAUCUAAGUGGGAGAAAAACUUCAAUGGAUUGGACGUGUUCCUAGAACCUAGACUAUGUGUUGAAAAGUUUUUCUUCUGCUACUGUUGUUUCCUUAGUACUUUCUUUAGUAGAAGGAAGGACCAUGGGCCCAAUACUUUAAGGAACAUUGGGGAAAGAAGACUCAGAAUAUGAAAACUUGCUUGCACAGGAAUCUAAAGAAAAUAUAGGAAGUUAUGAACUGUUAAAAGUAUAAAAGAAUAAAUUCAGGUGGAAAAGGAAAAGGGGGGAUUGAAGGAAAUAAAAAUUAAGGAAAUAAAAGUUAUUCUUUUAAUAAUUGUAGAAAUAAUUGUAGAAAUGUAAUGCCAUUAUAUGAAACUGUCUCUUUAGUACUAAUGUAAUGCUGUAACACAAAUGUAACAAUGCAAUGCCAAUAUAUGACCAAAUGUUUACUAUAUCCUGCCUAAAAAUCUCCCGGACAUAGGAAAUUACACUUUAAGUGGAAAUCCUACUAUCAAAGAAGGGGAUUUUAACCCAAAGUGAGAAUUCCAGAUAAAAAAGAUAACAGCAGAUGGACGGAAGAGGUCAGGUUAACAAAGUACCACUUCAGAGAAAACCACUAAGAUGAAAGAGAUGUGACAAUGCAUUGUAGGGCUAUAAAAUGCAAAACCUGAAACCAGGCCAGUGUGCUCCUGGAAUCCAAUCCAUAGGGAAGGAUCCAGGGGGCCGCGUUUGCAAACGCUCCUCUCUUCUAUUCUUUCUCUUUUCUCUUUUAUUCUGUUUCUGUUAUUCUCCAAUAAACCUUUGUUUUGUUAA